GAGAUAGCCCAGUCGGUAGAGCAUGAGACUCUUAACCUCAGGGUUGUGGGUUUGAGCUCCACGUUGGGCAACA